rnacentral:rRNA from 1 species
AGAGUUUGAUCCUGGCUCAGAACGAACGCUGGCGGCAUGCCUAACACAUGCAAGUCGAACGAGACCUUCGGGUCUAGUGGCGCACGGGUGCGUAACGCGUGGGAAUCUGCCCUUGGGUUCGGAAUAACAGUUAGAAAUGACUGCUAAUACCGGAUGAUGACUUCGGUCCAAAGAUUUAUCGCCCAGGGAUGAGCCCGCGUCGGAUUAGCUAGUUGGUGAGGUAAAGGCUCACCAAGGCGACGAUCCGUAGCUGGUCUGAGAGGAUGAUCAGCCACACUGGGACUGAGACACGGCCCAGACUCCUACGGGAGGCAGCAGUGGGGAAUAUUGGACAAUGGGGGCAACCCUGAUCCAGCAAUGCCGCGUGAGUGAUGAAGGCCUUAGGGUUGUAAAGCUCUUUUACCCGGGAUGAUAAUGACAGUACCGGGAGAAUAAGCCCCGGCUAACUCCGUGCCAGCCGCCGCGGUAAUAC